rnacentral:rRNA from 1 species
GUCUACAGCCAUACCAUCCUGAACAUGCGUGAUCCCGUCUGAUCUUGGAAGUUAAGCAGGGUUGGGCCAGGUUAGUACUUGGAUGGGAGAUCACCAAGGAAGACUUUUUAAAAUUUAUU